rnacentral:pre_miRNA from 1 species
UAUAAUAUUUUGACUAUUCGUCUUAUUUGAAUUUUUUUACGAUUAAUAUUUUUUUCUUAUUAGAUGAUAAAACAUGAAUAAUACUUUAUGUAUGACUAUUUUUUUAAGUUUUUUAUAUUUUUUUAAAUAAGACAAAUGGUAAAACGUUGGGCACGAAAAAAC